ensembl:lncRNA novel transcript, antisense to NUDT15
ACUGACUCAGCACAAGAAGACAGUUUUGACAUCCGUAUGGUUUUAUCCCCAACCCAACAAAGCAGCAUUUCUCAUUCCCUAGCCCCUUGCUUGUCAAACCAUCCUUGAAAAACCCUAGCCUCUGAAUUCUCUAUGGGUAGGAUUUAAGAAUUAUCUCCCGUCCUCCUCAUGCAGCUGCCCUGUGAUUAUUAAACUCUUUCUCUGCUACAACUCCUACUGUCUCAGGGUACUGGCUUUUUCUGGGUGGCAGGCAAGAAGAACCCAACUGCUGUGAAACAAUAAUUGUUUUAUCAGUGUAAUUAUUUACCGUAAAUGGAUGGUAUUAACUCUCCUGCGCAGGUGAGAAAACUGAGUAAAACAGAUAAAAUAUUUUCCUUAAAAUUACUGCCUGAAACAAAAUUAAACAAUAACAAUAAAACUUACUGUGUUCACGA